rnacentral:rRNA from 1 species
GUGAUUGAUGAACUUUUGGAUGAAUUAUCUGGUGCUGCUUGGUUCACUAAGUUAGAUCUCAGGGCUGGUUACCAUCAGAUCAGACUGGAUGCAGGGGAAGAAUAUAAAACAACCUUCCAAACUCAUCCGGGCCACUAUGAGUUCACAGUUUUAUCUUUUGGUCUCAAUGAAGCUCCAGGAACAUUUAAGGGAGCCCUAAACACCACAUUGUCCCCAGUUAAUAGGAAGAACACCUUAGUUUUCUUUGAUGACAUUUUAAUCUUCAGCAAGUCCUAUAAGGAGCAUUUGAAGCAUGUUAGAGAAGUUCUUAUUUUGCUAAGAGCUGAUCAGUGGAAAGUCAAAAUGUCAAAAUGUGCUUUUGCUCAA